rnacentral:snoRNA from 1 species
UGGCAGUGGUGAUGAUGACGACAGUUGUCUCUAUCCUGAAAGCCAACGUGUAGGUUUUCAGUCACUACCUCAUCUGAACUGUUC